CUUUACAAGUAUUACUUUACUUUUCUUGAUGUUUUCACUGUGUAUUAUUUUCUGCUUUGUUUUAGUAAUGUUCUUCAUCCAUUGGUGUACGCUAUCAUCUGCUUCCUCGCUGCUGUCAUUCUCAUUCUCCUAAUAAUUCUGUAUAAAAUCAUCUCCAUGCAAAAUCGCGUCAAAAAAGACAAUAUCCACAUGGCCAGCGACACAGGAGAAUCGACAUCUUUACAUAAUGCUUUGUGUACAAGUCUUGCUCCAACCUCAUGCGACGACGGUAAAAAAAACACAGACAUCAUCAUACAGUACAAUAAGUCUUACUGUUCAUCUGCUGAGGGAUUCACGCUAAAUUUUGCCCUUGUCACCAAUUAGGAGCAGAUAAUUCAUCCUCUACUAGUUCAGGGACUCCUGAAGGCUCGAUUUCCAGUAGAUCUCAGCGGUACGUGAGUAUUCCAGAGUGCUCGAAAACAUCCGACUACAUCAAUGUUUCAGAAGGGGUUUCCUCUGGACGAGUGGACUUUAAGAAUAAAACAACACGCAUAGACUAUGUGAACAAUAAAGAGUCCCAAAGGAAGAAGGUCAGUGGAAAAGGUCAAGCGAGAUGUGCUGACGCUACAAGCGUUAGCAGCGACGCGAGUGACGAGUCUGCUGUCAAUUACUCCAAGGUUGUUUUUACCAAAGCGAAGAAGUAACAUGUCAUUGGUAGCUUUUGUAAAAAUGGAUCAUUUAGCUUGAAAUGAAAAUUCUGUCAUCAUUUAUUCACAUGUAUGUUAUUAUAAAAGCUGUAUGGCUUG